GGGCUUUGUUUUAUGGGGACAUACUUCUGAUAGGAGGGGUCUUCAUCUAGUUUCUUGAGCAAAUGUUUGUAUACCAAAAGACCAUGGUGGUCUGAGUUUGUGUUUAUUGGCGCAAAUGAGGUAUGCUUUCUUAUGUAAGAUGGCUGUGCAUGUGGUCUUGAAACCUGACUCUUUAUGGGCGAAAGUGAAACCUGACUCUUUUUUUUUUUACUAGUUUUUGUUCUAUCAUUGCAUCUCCAGAGUCUUUCAGAAUAUUUCGUCUAAAUCAUUACAUUUUUUUUUCAUAAUCUAUAAAAUUUGGAUUUAUAGCUGUACGUUGUCUAUUUUGUGUUAAUGCUUUUUGGUGGAUAGCUAUAUUCUUCCUUAAUUCCUGGGAUUUUCUUCAUUUACUUGCUGUUAUCACUAGAAUCCGAGGAUAAAGUAUGGGCUUGGAUGUCUCACAUCUAAUUCUAUGUAAUUCUCUUUUUCUUGGAGUUAACCUUUUCUUUUGUUGCUUUUUAUUGACCGAAAUUGGUCCAUUGCAUUGUUAUUGCUUGAAGGUCUUUCCUCUGCUCUUUUGGUGUGCUUUUGAGGUUUAAUUGUUUUGGGUGGGAAAAAUUGUGUUACAAGCUCAUGAUUAAUAGAUAACAAGAUUGUUCUCUUGUAUUUCCCUCCUUCCCACCAUUUGUGUUACUCGAUCUAUUGUUCUGCUUCUUUGUUUAGCUGACUGAGCUCUUUUUGCUUAUUUUUCACUGAAAUUGUGCCUCCCGUUAUUAUCUUGUUUAAAGCAUUACUGAAUGUUUUGAACUCUGAUUUGAUAACUCACUGGUGAUAUGGAACAUUGAAUGGAGAUUUGUAGGAGAUUUUUGGCCCAACACAUACUCGUAUGUUGACAGGGCUUUACACAUAUGGUGUCUUUUUAUCCUUAUGUUUGCACCAAUAAUGUGGCUUACAUGUUCUUCAUGUGAUCUAAGAACUAGAUCAGUUUCAUAUCAUCUCCAACAUGGCAAUCAUGAUUGUCAUGCAGAACAGCUUUACAAGCUGAUUCAUUACAUUCAAUGCUACUGUGCCUUUUCCUUGUCUUCUUUUUUUAAAGGAAAUUGCUUCUUAGUACUAUGACUUUAUCUAUAAUCAUAUGUUUACAUGUGUUCUCUUAUGUUUAUUGAUCACUUCAAUUGGACUCUAUCAUCUAGGUACCCAUCAUACUGUCGACCAAAUAUAUGGCCUUCCAUUUCUUUGCCUGAGCUUGAACAAGGUACAUGGGCAUCUCUCCUCUGAAUCCAUAUAUGUGAAUAAUACUGGAGAAGGUUCUUCAGUCUGUUGGGUAAAUUGUAUAUUAUCAUCUUCAUGAGAUUCCUAAGAGGAAGUUAUAUCCAUCACUGUGAGAACUUUGAGAAUAUGGUCCCUUCCAAUUCUCAUUUGAAAUGCUUCUGAAAUGUUGAGUGAUUCAUGUUGGUAGAAUUAAUUGGGUGAUUCUCAUAAUAAAUUUUCCUGUAAUUUCUUUCUCUAAUUAUUUUAACUAUUCUUUUAUAGAUCCAAGAUUCUUCACGCUUAUUCUCUGAUUCAAAUUCUAGCAUCCAUCACUCAAGUUCUUGACCCAAAGAUUCAUCAACACCUAGCUUCUUUUUUUCAGUCAAAGUUUGUUCUGUUAUGACAGUAUGCGGUUUUCUUGUCAAAGUUUGUUCUACUUGAUGGAUGUUUCCUCCUUCAAAUGUUUAAUGAGGAUCUGCAAGCGGAGGAGCUCAGAUCGCUUUUCGACGAUAAUGUGUGCCUCAAAUGUCAUAUUCUUGUAGACCUGAUGUUGCUAGAAAAUCAACUUCCGUAUUUCAUUGUCCAGCAUCUCCUCGAAACACUGGGGAUGCCAGAGUGGGAUAGCUCCCGCCUUCUGAAUGCUGCCAUCGAUGCGUUCGAUGACUUUCCGCCAUCGUUCUGGAGAGGUCCACAGCCAGAGCUGCCCGCCGAAGGCUUCGAUGUGGAUCAUUUACUCCACUUGAUCCACCGAUGGAUCCGGCGAUUCCCAAAAUCAGAGGUGACCAACACAGCAAGCUACAGUAAACGAUCAAGGACUACUUAUUCUGCUUUAUCCCUAAUAAUCGACAAGACUGGGGAUUGGCUCUCCAAGGUGUUGCCGCGCCGUACCAAUUCUUCGAGUUCAGAGGAGACACGAGAUGGAUGUCACUGAAUAUACCAAGUUUCUGGAUG